rnacentral:rRNA from 1 species
UACGUAGGCAGCGAGCGUUGUUCGGAGUUACUGGGCGUAAAGCGUGCGCAGGCGGUUUUGUAAGCCAGAUGUGAAAUCCCCGGGCUCAACCUGGGAAUGGCAUUUGGGACUGCAAGGCUGGAGUACGGCAGAGGAGACUGGAAUUCCUGGUGUAGCAGUGAAAUGCGUAGAUAUCAGGAGGAAUACCGAUGGCGAAGGCAGGUCUCUGGGCUGAUACUGACGCUCAUGCACGAAAGCGUGGGGAGCAAACAGG